UCUAUUUUUAGAUGACAAUUUUUAUUGAGAAUACAUCAGUGGUGAAACAUCUGAACGCUAGUCAAGCUUUCAAUGACAUAUGGAACACGGCCUCCGAUUUGGAGAAUGAACUUAAAUGAAUGUUGCAGCAAAAGCGUGCCAAAAGCAGUAGCAUCAGCAGCAUCUCAUCAGCGUUGGGCAGCAAAGAUGGCCAAUGGUCCGGCUAAUCGGAGUGAUCGACCUGUUCACUUGCCUGCGAUGGCGACAUAAUGCAACAAAUACGCCGUUGCUACAACAAAAACGACUGCAAGGGCGAGAGCGUAAGGUAUCGCAUCUGCAACAUGCAACUGUGUCCGGAGCCACAAGACUUUCGUGCGCACCAGCGCCUACAAUGACGUGCCCUACGAUGGCACACUCUACGCGUUAACAUCCAGGAGAGUGUUGCGAUGCUUCAACAAAUAACCAUGGGUAGUGUGUGCAACAUACAUUUACUGUUGCUGUAGCGUCCGGCGAUAGUUGCAUCCGCCGCGAUCUGAAUGCUAUAAGAUGUCUCAACCAGUGUGUAGAAAUCGUUUCACUGGCGUAGAAGUCGAGGAAUCCACGUGCAAUGGUCCCCAUCACUGCUCUGCUCUGAAACACGCACACCUGUCCGCCAGUGUGGUUCACCGAUGACUGGAGUCCAUGCAGUCGUCUCUGUGGACCUGGCUACCGUGAGAGCAUUUGAUGUUUCGUGCGGAGGAGAAUAAUGGCAUCAAGGCAGCGAUGCUGGAUAUGAGAUGACGUACGCCAAAACCAGCCACAAAGGAGUCCUGCAUGAUUGAGAAGUGCACAACAUGAAAGGUGGAAGAGUGGACUGGAUGGUUUGUAAACUGUGGGCAAGGCUUGCAAAACCGUGGAGUUGAAUGUAAAUCGUCCGAUGGCAGACACAGCGCCAAAUGCGACCCACUUAUGAAGCCCAUAUCAGUGCAGCAGUGCUCGACGGAGGUCCUACGUGACGGUGGCGGCGGUACUUGUGCAGCGACCCACUCGCAUCGAUGAAGAGGACGAAAACUAUGAUGACGAUUCAGCGGAUGUGGAGGAUGUUUAGGAUGGCGCUGAUAAGUCCAAUAAUGGUUACCUAUCUGCAUCACAGUACAUCACUCACAAGGGCCGCAACAGCCGGUUAUGGUUAUCACAGUAAUUCAGAUCCGGAGUUGGAGGUGCCUGGAGACGAUCUAAGCUUCGUAAAAGAUAGCGAAUGGUCGCCAUGCAGCGUGAUCUUGUAUGAAGGCGCCAAACCACACGAUGAAGUGGAGCGUUGUGUCGAGGAGCCAUGUAUGCUGCCCUCACACACAUGAUCAAAAUCCAAGUGACUCCAUAAAAGUGAACGCCUCCGAACCGGGCAAAACAUAUGUGUGGCGUGAGCAAUGUUACACCUCGUGUAGUGCUAGUGGCUUGGGUGGUGUUGAGGAACUGAUAAUAAUUGUGAACGUGAAGGCACAGAAGCUUUAACCUCUGCCGAUAUGAUCACAGCUGAAGGAAAUACAAACAGCAAUUGUGGCCUUUUCAGAAAUUUGGCAACUCGAGAGGACACAACAUGCUGUUCGACAAGGGUCUACAAUUCGACAUCGAUUUGGAAAAUUUCGAACAGGCACCAUCAAUACUGACGGCAAUGAGUGGCACGAACCGGAAGCAACAGACCAUAUAAGUGACAUUACCAGUAGAACAACAAUGCCACCGAAAAUUGGUGCAACACACGACUCACCGCAUUCACCACACGCCAGAUGGCAGAAGCAUGGCGAGCCGGAGUCAGCACCGGGCCAACCAUGUCACGUACAUUGGCGAUUGGUCGGAGUGUUCGGAGAAGUGUGGCAAUGCAGGCCGCACUGGGUUCCGGCAAUGAACGAGUUGGAACAUCGCGCUAAAAUGAAGGAGCUUGUUCUGUUGUUCGCUAUGUUCUGAAACGCUUACAUCUCCUAUUGCCAUUUGGGGGAAAAAUCCUGCUACUCCUAUUGCUAUAGCUUAUCUGAUAUUGAACGCACACUCAAGAGCACAUCCGCUGGUGAAAGGAUAGGAAAGAUUAUAUUCAAACCGCUCCUUUAAUUUGGUAUACAUUGGUAUAUUCAAGACUUAACUAGAAUCUAAUGCGUAAACUAAAUAAUUAUAUAUAAAUAGCUUAAAUAUACAUGUAUAUACUAAAGACUGUAAGCACAUGGUUGUUUACUAAAAUAAAAAUUAAAAAAGU